CUCUUGACCUCGUGAUCCACCCACCUUAGCCUCCCAAAGUGUUGGGAUUACAGGCGUGAGCCACCACACCUGGCUCACAGCAUCAUUUUUCAAGGGUCUCUAGGGUGACCACGUGUCCUGGUUUGCCAAGGACAGUCCCAGUUUCCACCUGCUGUCCUGGUACAAUCAUGAAUAUUGUCCCUUUCAGUUUCAGAAGUGUCAUAGUUUAUACAGUAAAUUACCUGACCACCCUAAUAUGCCCCAUGUUUCUUGAAUCUAGGCUGCUGAUAAAAUUCACAUUUUCUGUCUCUCAGUCUAGUGUUCUUUACACUAAGCGUCCACAAAGGAAGCAAUAUUGGCCAACAAUCUUGGGUCUUUGGUUUAGGACGUUAAGAGUCCUACCUUCAGAGCAUUUUCCUUCUGGAGUGGACUUUGCACAAAUGGUAGGGUGAUUUGUGGAGUCAGUGAAGAACCAGGCUAACCCAGCUAGUUUUACUGGCCCAAAUUUUUCUUCCCAGGGCCAUAAACCAGUUAUUGCCAGGAAACAAAGGUGAACAAGCAAGUAUUUCGUUUUAAAUUGUUAUUAAGGAGAAACAUCUAGAAUCAAAUCUCACCACAUAAACCCAAAUCACCCCCAAAGUUAAGGGGAUCUAAAAUAAUACAAUGGAUGCUGUUUUUAUAAAGAUUAUGGGAAAGCCUUAACAGGUAAGUUGCUGUACCUUCACACGAAGAAAACAGCAGGUUAUUAUGCUUUUGUUAAAACAAGUGACCAACUACUACAUCAUCUCUAAAUCAUUCCAGAAUUAAGAUAAGUCCUAAAAAAAAUGUGACUCUGAUGAGUGCAUUUUAGAUUUGCUUGAAUGAGGGAGCAGUUAUUACUUGCUGCUAAAAUGCUCUGGAAACAUUUGGUGCAUACUCCAAAAGAAUGCAGAUAGGCCUAAGGAGGGAAUGAUGCAUAAUAUGAACACUGGCAAAGGGCCUUACAAGAAUGUACGCUGUGGAGAAUGUGACCAGUACUUUACAAACCAUCAGUUCAUAAAGUUCGGUACAUGUGAUGGAAAGAAAAAGACUUGCCUUGACCAACAGCAUCAGUCCAGCUGCACUAAACUCGAUGUGAAAAAAAUCCAGAAGUUUAAGAGUGCUUUGAAGCCCUUCAACAAUCAAAAUGAGAGAAUGUUAAUGAGAUCCUUUUUUCUGUCCAGUACAUUUAAUUCAGGAGACCUAUUAAGCCUAUGUUCUUGAAUAGUGAUUGCGAAUCAACCACUGAGUCUUCAGUGUACUUGUAUGUCCUAUAACCUGAAUUUUUGAGUCAGAUACUUUUAACAUUCAUUUUAGAUGGAUGAUACAAGCAUACCUACAGGAAACUAUAUCUUAAUUCAAGUUCUGCUCAGUACUAGUGGCCCAGAAGAUAAACUUAACGGGUGUUCCAAAAUGAAACAUAAAAAUAAAAGCUAAUUCUAGGAUGGAACAACUUGGGAAACAUGUUCAUAUGUUUCCUGUAGCAGUAAAACAGGACUCUUCACUGCAGCAUUGUGUGAAGCAUGCAAUAUAUAUAUAUAUAAAUAAAGGGGAUUUUAAAGAGGAUGAGAGGGUUUAAGAGAGGAUGUGGCCUAAUUUUCAGGUUUCUUCAUGCUCGUUUGAUCACUGAUUCCUCGCACUCCCCCACCACAUUAAGUCCUGGCUUUUUUGCUAACCAUCUAUUCUUAUAUGCAGAGACACUUCCAUUCCAUAGAAUACAGUUUAAUACAGAAAAUGCUGGCCAAAAGGACUCACAAAAGGUUGGGAAUCUUUAUGUGUUUCUGUGUCAUUUUGAGUUUUCGGUAAAAGAAGUGUUUUCCUUCCUUAGAUAAUGAAGAGGCCGAAUAGAUAAUAUGUUUUCCUAGGCACAGAUAGCAGAUUUGAAGUGCUCUGGCAAGCAACUUUGUGUCUCUAAUAUGUACAUAGUACUUUUACCUUCAGCCUGUAGUAAAACAUUACUCAGCAGAAGAUUGAUAAGCAGUUCAAAAAUAAUGUCUUCUGUCCUUUUAAAUUAGAUUCCCAAACCGGAAGAAGCUUUGCAAUUACUGCCAAAAUGUCUCAGAGGGCAUUAGGUUAAUCAAAGCUGGAGAGGACUGGAAAAAGAGGCAGCUGCUAGACACUGAGAAGCACUCCAUUUGCUAUGAGAUACUUGCCUCAUUUGUAACUGCAGGAUUUUAGUUUAUGGAGGUGACUGAAUGAUGACGCAGAGAGGUCAACACUAGUGAAAGAAGAGGUUUCUUACUUACAUUUCCUGAGAGGAGGGGACAUGCCACAACACACAGGGUCACAGUGGAAGCACCAGGAUGGUCAAGAGACCAGAAGAUCCGUGCUGGCACGCCAUUCUGACACAGGCUGUGAGAGAGUUGACAUUCUCAGAGCAAAUGCCACACGUGGAAGAUGGAGGAGCGUCGUGUGAAGGAAAAGUCUUCAAAGAGAGAUGAAAGGAAAUUUACUUCUACCUUCCAUUCAUUGCUAGGGUCCUCUUAUCUUUGACAAGAAACUACAUCACCUUUUGAUUAAAAUCUCCAGGGAUGUGAACUCACCUCCGCCAAAGAGAAGUCCCGUAGGUGGAUAGCUUUCUGGUUUAACACAUUUCCCUGUGUUUCACUAUUUUGCUUUCCUAAGAGCUUGUUGUUGCCCCACUGAGCAAGGCUGACUCUUUCUUGUGAAGGCCCUUCAAAUAUGGGGGGUUAGUUAUACUGUCUGUCCUGUGAGAUAUUUCCAAGCUGAAUCACACCUUUCCCCAGGAUUGUGGCCCCAUGUGCGAUUUGGAUCUUCAGACCACCAGUGUCCCCUGCAAUCAGGCUUGCAUAUUGAUGCUAGAUUUACUGAAAAACAGCUUUACCUUUGCCAAUCAUUUGUUGAAAAAUCAACAAAGUGUUCCUGUUAUAGAAAAACACAUUUCCUGCUAAGACUUUUUUUUUUCCGCUCCAACGGCUCUUUGAUUGGUUUAUAACCUGGGUCUCUAUUUCUCAAUAAAGCCAUCUCCUCCUCUGAUUAGGCAACCUUCACAGUGGUACCUCCAUUUACUUUGCUCAUCUCAGUUUCUCACCAUAUGCAUCCUGGGGUUCCUCAUAUGGCAAGCUUUAUGUUGCUUUCUCCAAAAUCAUAAUUUUUUGGUAAGCUUAAAUAUCACCUUUUUCAUAAAGCCUAUCCUGAACAACAUUAACCUCAAUUAUAUGACAUGUAUCUUGAAUGUGUCUCAUAAGUGAAUGUCUUAGGUCAGCUUCCUCAGGAAACAAACUAUGAAAUAGAGAUUUGCAUGCAGGAUGGUUAUGGGGAGUAGUCUCAAAAGCAAACCUGAGAGGAAGUAAAGGAAGAAGGAUUGGAUACAGGGUAAAUUUGAAUUGUGAUGUUGUUGCAACAGAAGCUUCAGCAAAGUCAUGGAGCACCCGGAGCUGGGAUUGCCUAUUUAGGUGGGGAGGCCAGACCUUCUAUUGCUGUAUGGACCCAUCACUGGAUGUGGGCUGCCUUGUGUGAGAAGCAAAAUCUUGAGCCAGAAGCUUUCUUUUGCAGAGAACAAUUUCUGGGAAGGAACUAGCUGUAAGUUCUCAGCAAGCAAUACACCCAGCAGCUGGGAAGAUAAAGAUGAAUGUCUCAGCUUUGAGGUGGAGCCUGGGUGGCAAUCCUUAACAUGAACAACAUACAGUUAAGAACAACCCAGCUUGUGCUUAUCUGGAUGUACAAGAACUUCAGGUGAUUCUUUCGUCCCUCCUGGUAAGAACCACUGUUCUAGCCCUUCGGGUGACUCUAUGGACCCAUAGAUGUUUGUGGAUGUUCUUUACUAUCUAAUAUAGGACAGCAUAUUGAGAGGAGUCAGGUAUAGAUAGGUCAAAAUAGUUGAAGAGGGUUAAAAAUUAAAAUGCCAUGAAUAUUGUAUGCAGUUUCGAUAUAUAUAUAUAUAUAUAUAUAUUUUUUUUUGCCCUACAUUUAGGAAAUUUCUGCAAUUUGAUUUUGAGAAAAAUAUUUAAAUGUAACCCUCUAGAUUCCAGGUUUUAAUAGUAUUCAUACAUGUGAUAUAUUUAACAGCAUAUUAUACACAGAAAAACUACACAGAUCCUAAGUGUACAGCUUGAUAAAUUUUCACCUGGUAAAUAAAUCCAUGUAUCCAGCCUGCAGAUCAAGAAUGAGCAGUGUCAUCUGAACACCUUAUCCAAGAAGUGUUCAUGUACUCACUUGUAGGUUCCCUAAGGACAGUGAAGAGUAGCAUCUCUCUUGACUUCCUUCACCGUAGGAGCAAACUUUCCCAGUGCCAUUGACUGGGCUUAUUUGGUCUGAUGACUGGAGUCCUGCUGUUAGCUAGGAUGAGGGAAGUGCAUUAUUACAGUGUCUUUUCUGCUAUUUUGAUACACUUGGCAACAACGUGGGACCCUUAUUUAAAAGUGCAAGUGCCCUUAUAAAAGAGACCCCAGAAAGAUUCCUAACCCCCUUUACCAUGUGAAGACACAGAAAAAGACAGCCAUCUGGGAUCCAGAAAGCAGACCCUCAUCAGAUACCAAAUCUGCCAAUACUUUGUCUUUGCACUUCCAGCCUCUAGGACGACAAGCAACUAAUUUCUGCCUGUUUAGGAGCCACCCAGUCUAUGGCAUUUUGUUAUAGCAGCUUGACCAGACUAAAACAAUGACUCAUAUAUAAGGAAAAUCAACGUUUAGCAAGUCAUUUUUAUGGCAAUGACCCCUCACUCAAGGAUAUUCAGCAGAUAAUUGCAGAAGGAUAUAGGAAUUCACCUCUGUCUGCAACAGUUCCGAAAAAAAGUCUCUUAAACAUCGCAAUUCAAGAUGAUGAGUUUUCUUAUUGAAGAUGGCCAUUCCUUUCUAGAGGACCAAGAACUUCACUUUAUUGCUGGCAGCAUGAACUGCUCAUGGCAGCAUGAAAAAAACAGAGUCCUGAAUAUGAAGUAGAAAAAAGGAAAGAAGUCAUGGCUCAGUUGGUAAGUCUGGGGCUUUUGGCAAAUUCAACAGGAGGAUGUGUCCUGAAAGAGAAAUGGGCUUCAUUUUAGGUAGGUAACUAUAUCUCCACAGUAAUUAGAGACAGAGUACAUAAAGCACAUCGUAUGACAUAGGAUUCAAUAAAUGGUAGUUAUCAAUAUCUUCAUUGUUAUAAUCAUAUGAUAGUUAUUUUGUGAUAUAGCUAAAAUAAAAAAAAAUUAAGAAAACCAGCCACCCCUAAAUGAAAUGUUAGGGUGAAAUUCCAGACUCUGAAAAGCCAAGUCCCAGAUAGAACCAUAAUGCCAAGCCCCCGUAUGUGGCAGUACUGUGCUGAGAGGUCAGCCCUGCCUGGAAGCGUCACCUACCUUGUCAGUUGCACCAUCACUGUAGUUAGCCACCUCAUGCUGGGGGGUUUUUCUAUGGCAUACAGUAGGCCUGCUGAGAGAGUCUUUGAUGCUAUUUAUUUGGGCUGAUAUAAGAUCUAUGGCUGCCUACAUGGGCAACAUUUCAGGGGUAGCACACAGGCUUUGAGAUCUGGAUCCAGCACGACUCAUCUCCUAGCUGUGUGAGCUUAGCAAGUUGCUUUAUCCCUCAAAGACACAGGUCUCUUAUCUAUAAAACAGGGAUGAUGAUACUUUGCAGGGUUUUUGUGAAAAUUGGAGAUAAUAUGUAGGAAGUGUUCAGUACGCUACAAGUGCUACAUAAUGGUAUUAUUUAAACAGUUCAACAGCAUCCAUUAAUGAGCCCUAUCUUGGAGGUUUUACUUGAGGAUUAAAAGAAAACAAUAUGUAAAGUACCUAGUACAUAAUAGACUCUUAAUAAUUGGUAGACUGUUACCUAAAUUUCAAGGAAUACAGUUUUCAAAUGGACUUCUUUAAGUGUAAUUCUCAAUUUGUAGUUAAGAGGCUUGGGUCUUGGAUUUAGAGCUAAUUAACUGUGUACUCUUAAGCAAAUCACUCUGGGUCUCAGUUUCCUCAUUCAAAAAUUACAUAUUUGCACAAAUGAGAAACAAAGUAUCUUUUUUUAAUAAAUUGGAAAGGAAAGUUUCUUUACGCUUAGCAGGGAAGGAGCUUUGGAACACUAGGGAACAUUUGAGAAGGCUAGCUUAACACUACUAAGUUAGGGUCAUUAAAUUUUCAAAAUGAAUGAAUUCAUUACAAAUAAGAGAGGAAAAAAAAUAGUUUAUAUGUAGCCGAGUUAAUUCAUUCAGACACAUUUGCUGUGCACCUGAGUCUUGAAGAAAAGUCUUGUUCAUCUGAGCUCUUCCAAAAGGGAUUUUUGAUGCAGUCUUACAUGUUUUGCUUUCUUCUCACAUCAAAACAUUCCACAUACUUUGAAUUUAGAUGCAGCCCUUCCUUCUGGUAUUAAGGAAGCAGUGAAUACAUCACCAUCAGCCUUCUUUCUAUCAAUAUGAGAGACCUACCUGCUGGUUUUUGUUUUUUUUUUUUUUCUUAAUAAUAAGAAGAACACCUUGUUUUGCCAGCCAAAAGAUUCAGCUUACCUUUAAAGAACCUUUCCUCUUAAUUAAAAAGCUAUUAAUUACAUACUUUGCAAAACACUUCUUUGAGUUAAAUAUUGGUAUUUGUGGGGGAGGGGUGUGGGGAGAGGUUGGUGAAUGAGAAAGCUCUGCUUUGGGGAUUUUGAUACAAAAACUAUUAAGGGAUUAUGUGGUUGCCUUAGCCAGUGCAUACAUUUGUUAUGAUCCAUUUAUUUGUUCUGGUAUGCUCAGUGCCUGGCACAUAGUACAGGAAGCUGCUAAAAUGUUUGUCGAAUUAGUAAAUGAAUACGAAAAAUGUCUUUUCAUAGUGUCCAAUAAGGAAAAUAGCAUAAAUAAACUUUAGUGUGUUUCUGGUAGAUCCCAUUUGUAUAGCAUUUAAUUGGGCAGAGCACAUGGGCUUUGGGAAAUUGGGUUUAGGAGCAGUCAGGGAAGUGGGGAGACUGGCUUAGCACCUGAUGGGACCUCUUCCUUCAGACAGAGGAAGGGAUGGAGUAGUGUGAGGAGGUUAACAACCCAUUGCUGUGGGCUUAGCAUUCAGUCUCCAGCCCAAAUAAGGCCUGUUGGCUUCCUCCAACUAUAGUUGGGAAUUGGGUGUGCCUGUGUGGGGAGGAUGGGUAGGAAUGGCUGAGCCUUGCCUGAGUUAUUGGAAAGAAGCAAAGGUUGCACAAACAAAAAUGCUGAGACUAAAAAUGUGUUUAUAUAUGGUAUGAAGCAAGUGAAUGACUCUCACACUCACAUUUGGUACUUGAUGCCACUUUUUACGAAUGAUGACUUUUCAUGUUGAAGAUGCCCCUUCCUUUCUAGAGGACCAAGAACUUUGCUUUGUUCCUGGCAGCAUGCACUGCUCAUGGCAGCAUGAAAAAAACAGUCUUGAGUAUGAAGCAGAAAA